CGGACGGGUGAGUAACACGUGGAUAACCUACCUAUAAUACUGGGAUAACUUCGGGAAACCGGAGCUAAUACCGGAUAAUAUUUUGAACCGCAUGGUUCAAAAGUGAAAGACGGUCUUGCUGUCACUUAUAGAUGGAUCCGCGCUGCAUUAGCUAGUUGGUAAGGUAACGGCUUACCAAGGCAACGAUGCAUAGCCGACCUGAGAGGGUGAUCGGCCACACUGGAACUGAGACACGGUCCAG
rnacentral:rRNA from 1 species